GUGGUUCUAAUUUCAUAGAAGAAACUAAAGCUCAGAGACGUGAGUCUCAGGAGAACAGGGCACAUGUAGCUAAGUCCUCGGUGAAGUACAAAUGUCUGCGACCUGUAACGAUAACGAAAGGCAGCUGAGGAGUGCUUCCUUUGAGCCACACAGCACUGGGUACCCGGAGCACAUCAGUUCACCCUGCCCCCACCGCCGAAGGUCCGCCCACCCUCUUUCCUAAGAGCACUGGAAACAGGCUGAAGAGAUGAGGUGGAAGAGGCCUGAGACCAGAGUCGCCCUCCUCCGUGCCCCAGCCCCAGCCCCAGCCUUAC